rnacentral:rRNA from 1 species
UACUGCGGAGGAUCAUUACCGAGUUUACAACUCCCAAACCCAAUGUGAACGUUACCAAACUGUUGCCUCGGCGGGAUCUCUGCCCCGGGUGCGUCGCAGCCCCGGACCAAGGCGCCCGCCGGAGGACCAACCAAAACUCUUAUUGUAUACCCCCUCGCGGGUUUUUUACUAUCUGAGCCAUCUCGGCGCCCCUCGUGGGCGUUUCGAAAAUGAAUCAAAACUUUCAACAACGGAUCUCUUGGUUCUGGCAUCGAUGAAGAACGCAGCGAAAUGCGAUAAGUAAUGUGAAUUGCAGAAUUCAGUGAAUCAUCGAAUCUUUGAACGCACAUUGCGCCCGCCAGUAUUCUGGCGGGCAUGCCUGUCCGAGCGUCAUUUCAACCCUCGAACCCCUCCGGGGGGUCGGCGUUGGGGAUCGGCCCUUUACGGGGCCGGCCCCGAAAUACAGUGGCGGUCUCGCCGCAGCCUCUCCUGCGCAGUAGUUUGCACACUCGCAUCGGGAGCGCGGCGCGUCCACAGCCGUUAAACACCCCAAACUUCUGAAAUGUUGACCUCGGAUCAGGUAGGAAUACCCGCUG